GCCAUGCUUUCCCUGGAUUUGGGUUUUUCUUCGAUUCCUACACUCAGAACUUUCCCUCUCUGUGUGGAUCAAGCUAAGGCUGAUCGGCGAGAUCCAUUUCCAUCUCCACGGAACGUCACUGGGAUAGUGAGUGAAGAGAAAGCAGAUUCGUUUAACGUACCAAUAUAUUACAUGUCUCCUCAAGAAUUGGAAGCUUUAGCAUAGAGAGAAUGGAGACCUUGCCUCGCAUCUUGCCACAAGGCACUGUCUCUGGCUCUGGUGCCCAAUUAGUUACAUCUCACAUUAGAGCUGCCGUUGAGGGACUCAUCAAGCAGCACUUUGGAGAUGAAAUCUUAGAUGAGCUCUUUGACUUGUGCCGUAAGAAAUUUGAAGAGCAACCGUCCAUGUAUGAGUCAGGGAUGCCGGUUAAUUUUCUUGCUGUGCUUAAACGCAAGGCAACCUGUUGUUAUGGUGUGUUUGGUGUUUGUGAAGCUAUAGUUAAACUUUCUUGAGCUUCCUAUCUUGUUAUGUGACUGAUUAAAGUGGCAUGUAAAAUCGCAGUUAAUUAUAUAUUUGUAAUAACUUGAGCUUCAUAUAAUAAUAGUGUGAAAAUAAAGCUCAUUUUAGAUGAGCUCUUUGACUU